GCUCCUGUGGCGGAAUUGGCAGACGCGGCAGACUUAAAAUCUGUUUUAUUUUGAGUGUGAGUUCGAGUCUCACUAGGAGCA
rfam:Oscillatoria nigro-viridis PCC 7112, complete genome.